rnacentral:lncRNA from 1 species
GGGAGCAGUUGUGCAGCCCCAGUGCAGCCACAUCAUGGGGCCAUCGCUGUCCUGUAAUCAGCAUCCAUGGCCAAGGUCCCACGCGAGGCAGAGAGAAAAGGAAUGUGAGCAGCUACUUGGCACCGGCAGGAUGGAAUGACUGUGCUGGAGGAGCUCCGGGAGAAGGAAAAAACCACAUCAAGGCUGUCUGCCUUCCUCAUCCUGAAUUACAGCACCCAGAGAGGAAUACGCCAGGGGUUGGAUGUGGAGGGCGGAUGCUCCGCGCAGACCUUCAGCCCAGAGCUGAGACGUCCAACUUGACACCGUGGAGGAUUCCCAGCAUUCUUGGACUGCUUUGCAUCGAAGCCUACUGAGAAAACAUCUCCCUGCUUUCAGGCAGUUUGACCCACUGGGUCAUGAAAAUAAACACUUGAAGGAAA